rnacentral:rRNA from 1 species
CCUACGGGAGGCAGCAGUGGGGAAUUGUUCACAAUGGGCGCAAGCCUGAUGACGCAACGCCGCGUGGGGGAUGAAGGUCUUCGGAUCGUAAACCCCUGUCGAAUGGGACGAAUAGCUUCCGGAUUAAUACCCCGGAGGAAUGACGGUACCGUUAAAGGAAGCCACGGCUAACUCUGUGCCAGCAGCCGCGGUAAUACAGAGGUGGCAAGCGUUGUUCGGAAUUACUGGGCGUAAAGGGCGCGUAGGCGGCCAUCUAAGUCAGACGUGAAAUCCCCCGGCUCAACCUGGGAACUGCGUCUGAUACUGGAAGGCUAGAGUUUGGGAGAGGGAUGUAGAAUUCCAGGUGUAGCGGUGAAAUGCGUAGAUAUCUGGAGGAAUACCGGUGGCGAAGGCGGCAUCCUGGACCAAUACUGACGCUGAGGCGCGAAAGCUAGGGGAGCAAACGGGAUUAGAUACCCCGGUAGUCCUAGCCCUAAACGAUGAAUACUUGGUGUGGCGGGUAUCGAUCCCUGCCGUGCCGAGCUAACGCAUUAAGUAUUCCGCCUGGGGAUACGGUCGCAAGGCUGAAACUCAAAGGAUUGACGG